GACGAACGCUGGCGGCGUGCUUAACACAUGCAAGUCGAACGGUAAGGCCCUUCGGGGUACACGAGUGGCGAACGGGUGAGUAACACGUGGGUGAUCUGCCCUGCACUUCGGGAUAAGCCUGGGAAACUGGGUCUAAUACCGGAUAGGACCACUGCCUGCAUGGGUGGUGGGGGAAAGCUUUUGCGGUGUGGGAUGGGCCCGCGGCCUAUCAGCUUGUUGGUGGGGUGAUGGCCUACCAAGGCGACGACGGGUAGCCGGCCUGAGAGGGUGACCGGCCACACUGGGACUGAGAUACGGCCCAGACUCCUACGGGAGGCAGCAGUGGGGAAUAUUGCACAAUGGGCGCAAGCCUGAUGCAGCGACGCCGCGUGAGGGAUGACGGCCUUCGGGUUGUAAACCUCUCUCAGCACCGACGAAGCGCAAGUGACGGUAGGUGCAGAAGAAGGACCGGCCAACUACGUGCCAGCCGCCGCCGUAAUAC
rnacentral:rRNA from 1 species